rnacentral:rRNA from 1 species
UGGGGAAUUUUGGACGAAUUGGGCGAAAGCCUGAUCCAGCAAUGCCGCGUGUGUGAAGAAGGCCUUCGGGUUGUAAAGCACUUUUGUCCGGAAAGAAAUCCUUGGCUCUAAUACAGUCGGGGGAUACGGUACCGGAAGAAUAAGCACCGGCUAACUACGUGCCAGCAGCCGCGGUAAUACGUAGGGUGCAAGCGUUAAUCGGAAUUACUGGGCGUAAAGCGUGCGCAGGCGGUUUGCUAAGACCGAUGUGAAAUCCCCGGGCUCAACCUGGGAACUGCAUUGGUGACUGGCAGGCUAGAGUAUGGCAGAGGGGGGUUAGAAUUCCACGUGUANCAGUGAAAUGCGUAGAGAUGUGGAGGAAUACCGAUGGCGAAGGCAGCCCCCUGGGCCAAUA